GCGAUCAUACCAGCACUAAUGCACCGGAUCCCAUAAGAACUCCGAAGGUAAGCAUACUUGGCGAGAGUAGUACUAGGAUGGGUGACUCACUGGGAAGUCCUCGUGUUAAACCCC
rnacentral:rRNA from 1 species